GUUUCCCAAUUGUUGGUGUUUAUACUACAUUUUUUAAGAUUUGCCUUGAGACACUCUUUAAACCUCUUUUGUUGACCACCAGCAUUACGCUUUCCAUUUUUAAGUUCGGAAUAGAGUAGUUGCUUUGGAAGACGAUCAUCAGGCAUCCACACAACAUGACCAGUCCAGCGAAGUUGAGGUUGAAGAAUCAUUGCUUCAACACUGGUGAUCUUUGC